GACGUAGGGCGCGAGCGUUGUCCGGAAUUAUUGGGCGUAAAGAGCUCGUAGGCGGCUCGUCGCGUCAGCUGUGAAAACCCACGGCUUAACUGUGGGCUUGCAGCUGAUACGGGCGGGCUGGAGUUCGGUAGGGGAGACUGGAAUUCCUGGUGUAGCGGUGAAAUGCGCAGAUAUCAGGAGGAACACCGGUGGUGAUGGCGGGUUUGUUGGCCGAUACUGACGCUGAGGAGUGAAAGCGUGGUUAGCGAACAGG
rnacentral:rRNA from 1 species